rnacentral:tRNA from 1 species
GAGGAUUUAGCUUAAUUAAAGUGAUUGAUUUGCGUUCAGUUGAUGUAAGAUAUAGUCUUNCAAUCCUUA